AUGAACGCUGGCGGCGUGCCUAAUACAUGCCAGUCGAGCGAACAGAUGAGGAGCUUGCUCCUCUGACGUUAGCGGCGGACGGGUGAGUAACACGUGGAUAACCUACCUAUAAGACUGGGAUAACUUCGGGAAACCGGAGCUAAUACCGGAUAAUAUAUUGAACCGCAUGGUUCAAUAGUGAAAGACGGUUUUGCUGUCACUUAUAGAUGGAUCCGCGCCGCAUUAGCUAGUUGGUAAGGUAACGGCUUACCAAGGCAACGAUGCGUAGCCGACCUGAGAGGGGGGACAGGCCACACGGAAACUGAGACAGGGCCCAGACCCUGAGGGGGGGCGCAGGGAGGAAUUCUCCGGAAAGGGGGAAAAGCCGGAGGGAGCAGCGCCGGGGGAGGGAGGAUGGUGUUCGAAUCGAAAAACUGUUUUAUGGGGAAAAAAAAAAUGUGAAAGUAACUAGGCACGUCUGGACGGUACCUAAUAAGAAAGCCACGGCAAACCAGGGG
rnacentral:rRNA from 1 species